rnacentral:rRNA from 1 species
GAUGAACGCUGGCGGCGUGCCUAAUACAUGCAAGUCGAGCGGAAGGACGCUAAGCUUGCCUCUCUGAUGUAAGCGGCGGGUGGGUCAGUAACAAGUGGCUAACCUACCUAUAAUAAUGGUAUGACUUCGGGAAACCUAAGCUAUAACAGGCUAAUAUUUUGAACCGCAUGGUUCAAAAGUGUAAGACGGUCUUGCUGUCACUUGUCGAUGGACUCGCGCGGCAUUAGCUAGUUGGUAAGGUAACGGCUUACCAAGGCAACGAUGCAUAGCCGAGGCGAGAGGGUGAUCGCCCGCACUGGAACUGAGACAGCGUCCAUACUCCUACGGGAGGGAGCAGUAGGGAAUCGUCCGCAAUGGGCGAAAGCCUUACGGAGCGACGCCGAGUGAGUUGUGAAGGUCUUCGGAGCGUAAAACUCUGUUAUUGGGUGAGAACAUAUGUGUAAGUAACUGUGCACAACUUGACGGUACCUAAUGAGAAAGCCACGGCUAACUACGUG